rnacentral:miRNA from 1 species
AUUGUAAUCCCCUGGGGAUCUUGUUAAAAUGCAGAUUCUAAUCCAAUAGGUCUGAGAAGGAUCCCAAAAGUCUGCAUUUGAAUAGUUCCUGGGGAUGCUGAU